AAAAAGACCAAAAAUGUGGUCGCGUGAAUUCGUGGUCGAUUCUCUCUAUGGAAUCGCCUAAUACCCACUCCAUGCUGUUUUACAGAUAUGAGGCCUGAGCCAGUCAUCAUAAACUACAAGAUAUGAGAUUGGUAUUGACCUGCCAUCACCAGCCAUCUCAGGAUCAUCACUUGGGCGCACUUGGAUAAACAGCAUCCCACUUGAUUGGAUAACCUACCUAUGGCCGAGCUACGGAUCUCCUUUUCCCCUUUCUUUCAAUGUUCUCGUGUACGC